GAGUUUGAUCAUGGCUCAGAUUGAACGCUGGCGGCAGGCCUAACACAUGCAAGUCGAACGGUAACAGGAAACAGCUUGCUGUUUCGCUGACGAGUGGCGGACGGGUGAGUAAUGUCUGGGAAACUGCCUGAUGGAGGGGGAUAACUACUGGAAACGGUAGCUAAUACCGCAUAACGUCGCAAGACCAAAGAGGGGGACCUUCGGGCCUCUUGCCAUCGGAUGUGCCCAGAUGGGAUUAGCUAGUAGGUGGGGCAACGGCUCACCUAGGCGACGAUCCCUAGCUGGUCUGAGAGGAUGACCAGCCACACUGGAACUGAGACACGGUCCAGACUCCUACGGGAGGCAGCAGUGGGGAAUAUUGCACAAUGGGCGCAAGCCUGAUGCAGCCAUGCCGCGUGUAUGAGAAGGCCUCGG
rnacentral:rRNA from 1 species